AUCCAACCUGCCGAUGACUCGGGGAUAGCCUUUCGAAAGAAAGAUUAAUACCCGAUGGUAUAGUUCUUCCGCAUGGUAGAACUAUUAAAGAAUUUCGGUCAUCGAUGGGGAUGCGUUCCAUUAGGUUGUUGGCGGGGUAACGGCCCACCAAGCCUUCGAUGGAUAGGGGUUCUGAGAGGAAGGUCCCCCACAUUGGAACUGAGACACGGUCCAAACUCCUACGGGAGGCAGCAGUGAGGAAUAUUGGUCAAUGGACGAGAGUCUGAACCAGCCAAGUAGCGUGAAGGAUGACUGCCCUAUGGGUGGUAAACUUCUUUUAUACGGGAAUAAAGUGAGGCACGUGUGCCUUUUUGUAUGUACCGUAUGAAUAAGGAUCGGCUAACUCCGUGCCAGCAGCCGCGGUAAUACGGAGGAUCCGAGCGUUAUCCGGAUUUAUUGGGUUUAAAGGGAGCGUAGGCGGACGCUUAAGUCAGUUGUGAAAGUUUGCGGCUCAACCGUAAAAUUGCAGUUGAUACUGGGUGUCUUGAGUACAGUAGAGGCAGGCGGAAUUCGUGGUGUAGCGGUGAAAUGCUUAGAUAUCACGAAGAACUCCGAUUGCGAAGGCAGCUUGCUGGACUGUAACUGACGCUGAUGCUCGAAAGUGUGGGUAUCAAACAGGAUUAGAUACCCUGGUAGUCCACACAGUAAACGAUGAAUACUCGCUGUUUGCGAUAUACAGUAAGCGGCCAAGCGAAAGCGUUAAGUAUUCCACCUGGGGAGUAC
rnacentral:rRNA from 1 species